GUGCCAGCAGCCGCGGUAAGACAGAGGGUGCAAACGUUGUUCGGAAUUACUGGGCGUAAAGCGCGUGUAGGCGGCCUCGCAAGUCGGGUGUGAAAGCCCUGGGCUCAACCCAGGAAGUGCACUCGAUACUGCAAGGCUUGAGUUCCGGAGAGGAAAGCGGAAUUCUCGGUGUAGAGGUGAAAUUCGUAGAUAUCGAGAGGAACACCGGUGGCGAAGGCGGCUUUCUGGACGGCGACUGACGCUGAGACGCGAAAGCGUGGGGAGCAAACAGGAUUAGAUACCCUAGUAGUCC
rnacentral:rRNA from 1 species